UACAGAGGUCCCGAGCGUUGUUCGGAUUCAUUGGGCGUAAAGGGUGCGUAGGCGGCGGGGCAAGUCUGAUGUGAAAUCCCGGGGCUCAACCCCGGAACUGCAUUGGAUACUGCCUUGCUUGAGUACUGGAGAGGAGACUGGAAUUUACGGUGUAGCAGUGAAAUGCGUAGAUAUCGUAAGGAAGGCCAGUGGCGAAGGCGAGUCUCUGGACAGUUACUGACGCUGAGGCACGAAGGCCAGGGGAGCAAACAGG
rnacentral:rRNA from 1 species